UGCCUAAUGAUGCAGAAUGGUUGUAACAAGUUUGUGAAUUAUUUACAUGAAAGUUUUAGGUUUUAUAGACAGUAACUGCUUCCUCUUUCGUUAGUCCUGUGGUCCGGGAAUUUGGUGCUGUGCUUCGAGUUGAGAUAGGUUCAUCCCGAGGGGCUGGUACUUGACACUGCAUCCAGAGUUGCCUUUCUGUAGAAUUACCCAAAAAUUUGACUUGGAUGAAAAUGCUCAUGGUGUCAGGUUACACUUCAAUUUGAAGUAAAGGGAAUACUUCGUGCCACAUCUAUUAUACCUUGAGUACAAUUGUCAAGGUGUAGAGCGAACUUGAGGACAUUACACGGAAGACAAUACGUGAAGCGUUAAGACUACUUCAUACCACAGUUAUUUUACCUAAAGUACAUCAAUCAAGGUUUGCUGGCAGUUGCCGCAUAUUUCAAAGAGGGAAGGCUGCAGAAAGGUUUGUUAUAAAAAGUCGCGCACGGCAAUGUCUAAGAUGUGUCAAGGUAGAACAAUUUACGCUGGUGUAAAACUAUUUGGCGUAAAGACAAUUUACGCUGGUCUGCUGUGACAAAGUAAUCUUGUCACAGAAAGUGCGUGUGAUCUUCGGUUACAAGUAGAACACGAAGUAGGGCGUCAGAUGAUAAGCAAGCAGAUUAUUUAAACAGGAGAAAAGAGCCGUAACAGGAGAAAAGGAUAAUACACAAAGGAACACGAAAGAUAAAAUCUCUCCUUGAUUGUUAUGACAAGAAAGCAGUAAGAAGACAAUGAAGCAGACUAACAGUUUCAACCGAGGAAAACUCAAC